UCUGGAGUUUGGCAGAGGGGGGUGGAAUUCCACGUGUAGCAGUGAAAUGCGUAGAGAAGUGGAGGAACACCGAUGGCGAAGGCAGCCCCCUGGGCCAAUACCGACGCUCAUGCACGAAAGCGUGGGGAGCAAACAGGAUUAGAUACCCUGGUAGUCCACGCCCUAAACGAUGUCAACUAGGUGUUGGAAGGGUUAAACCUUUUAGUGCCGUAGCUAACG
rnacentral:rRNA from 1 species